GAUGAAGAACGCAGCGAAAUGCGAUAAGUAAUGUGAAUUGCAGAAUUCAGUGAAUCAUCGAAUCUUUGAACGCACCUUGCGCCCUUUGGCUAUUCCGAAGGGCAUGCCUGUUUGAGUAUCAUGAACACCUCAACUCUCAUGGUUUGCCAUGAUGAGCUUGGACUUUGGGGGUCUUGCCGGCCUAUGGGUCGGCUCCUCUCAAAUUAAUCAGCUUGCCAGUGUUUGGUGGCAUCACAGGUGUGAUAACUAUCUACGCUUGUGGUUUUCCAUCAGGUAACCUUCAGUGAUGGAGGUUCGCUGGGGCUCAUAAAUGUCUCUCCUCAGUGAGGACAGCUUUUUUGAACGUUUGAUCUCAAAUCAGGUAGGACUACCCGCUGAACUUAAGCAUAUCAAAUAGCGGAGGA
rnacentral:misc_RNA from 1 species